GGAGAGGUGUCUGAGCGGUCGAAGGAGGUGGUCUCGAAAACCAUUGUCCCUCACUGAGGGACCGCGGGUUCGAAUCCCGCCCUCUCCG
rnacentral:tRNA from 1 species